rnacentral:rRNA from 1 species
UACGUAGGGGCGCAAGCGUUGUUCCGGAAUUAUUGGGCGUAAAGGAGCUCGUAGGCGGUUUGUCGCGUCUGCUGUGGAAAACCCGAGGCUCAACCUCGGGCCUGCAGUGGGUACGGGCAGACUAGAGGUGUGGUAGGGGAGACUGGAAUUCCUGGUGAUAGCGGUGAAAUGCGCAGAUAUCGAGGGAGGGAACAGCCGUAUGGCGAAGGCAGGUCUCGUGGGACCGCAGCUACAUG